AUAGCGGUUAGUCGGAUCACAAUGGACAGACUGCAAAGUUGUGUGUUAGCUUACAUCCUGGCGUCGGGGUUUAUGCUUUAUGAUAAAAACUGUUUGUUCGACGUCUUAAUAUUCUCUGUUGUGGUUUAUACGUUACUACGGAUUGGGCUGGCUUGGGUUCUAGCCUUUAAUAACAAGUUGGACAACUAUUUCCCGAGGCAGCGCUGCGCGCCGCGGUCGCGCUACUCCGCCUACAAACAACACAAGUCUAUGUUUUAAUCAUCAUCAUAUUAUAAGCGUCGCUCAGAAAAAGCAGCAAAGUAAUUGGAGCUUCUGAAGAGUGCAAUACACGCGGCGCUCCUACACUGCGGAGCACAGAGCAGCUUGAUAUGAUGAUGAGACGAGGGCGGCGGGCGGCGGGGGCGGGCG